rnacentral:tRNA from 1 species
GUCCACAUAGCUUACCACAAAAGCAUGGCACUGAAGCUGCCAAGACGGCACAUGAACAUGCCUGCGGACA